rnacentral:lncRNA from 1 species
GUGAGUAUUGACGAAUAGAAAAAUUCAUAGAUAAUUAUUAAUAAAUAUCAAAGAUUUCGUCUUCUUCUUUUUCUUUCUCUUCUCUUUUUCUUCUUUUUUUUUCUUUUAUUUUUCUUCUCCUUCUCCUAUAUAUUUUUCUCUUUUUCCUUCUCCUCAUCACUCGUUCCCAUUCUAAUAAAUAUUUUCCCAAUUUUUAUAAAAAAAUUGGCAUCAAUUACAAUAAAU